UGGGUGCCCUGCCCUCAGCUCUGGGAUAAGCCUGGGAAACUGGGUCUAAUACCGGAUAUGACUCCUCAUCGCAUGGUGGGGGGUGGAAAGCUUUUUGUGGUUUUGGAUGGACUCGCGGCCUAUCAGCUUGUUGGUGAGGUAAUGGCUCACCAAGGCGACGACGGGUAGCCGGCCUGAGAGGGUGACCGGCCACACUGGGACUGAGACACGGCCCAAACUCCUACGGGGAGCAG
rnacentral:rRNA from 1 species